AUGCCGGGGUCCAGGCGGGCCUGCAAUCGGCGGCCCCGCUCCGAGGCCCGGGAGGACCUGUUGAGGAGACGGAGGCCUGGCGGCCGCCGAGGCUACCCCACAGAACGCGGACCCGGCCCCGCCUGGGUCCUCGGGGCCCGCCCUGCCCCGGCCGCGGCCGCCGCCCUCCAACAACGAGCCGCGACGGCCAGCGCGCCGCCGCCCUCCCCCACUCACAGGGCCGCGCAUCCGCGGACCCCGGCCCGAGGGCCCCAGGCCUGGCCGCGCGGGAAGGGCCGGCCCGGCGGGCGGCGCUCACGCGACUCCCCGGCUUCCGGCCCGAGCAGGCCCUGCACGGUCCUCCUCCUGCGGCCCGCCCCUCCCGGACCCGCCGAGGGCGAGGGGGCGCGGGCGGGAUCCCCGCAGGCCCCGCCGCCCCCGCCCGCCUGCACAAAGCCCGGCGGGCCACUCGGGGCGGUUCUCGGAGGGCGGGCGGCGAGCGCACCGCGCCGGCGGCCCGAGAGGCUGCAGCCGGGGCCGGGCUCCACAAAGCGACGGCGCCACCGCUCGGACGCCCCCGCCCGCGCCCCGCGCCCCGCGCCGCCGCGGCCGAGUCUCCCACCAUUAUGCUCCGGUCCUCGCCGCCGCCGCCGCCGCCGCCGCGCCCGGCCCUCCCCCUCCGCGCCCGGCCCCGCCGCCGCCGCGCCGCCUCCUUCCCGCCGCCGCCGCCUCCCGGGCCCAGGCCUGCGGGGCGCGGGGGGGGGGGGGGGUGGGAGAGGCUCCCCGCCUCCCGGCCUCCGCGCCGCCUCCGCGCCGCCUCCCCGCCCCGCCGCCGCCUUCCUGCCGGGCCUGCCCGCCGGCUUCGCGGGCCCGGCCUCCGCCUCCCCGGGCCCCCGGUUCCCCGCCGCCCUCCCCGACUCGGCGCUUCAGGGGCGCCAUGUUGACAAGCCACCGCCGCGGACACCCGCGCGUUCCCGGCCGGGAAGGCGCGGCGGCCGGACCGGGGACUCGGGGGGCCCGCCGCCGCCCGCACUUACGGGGUCUCGGCGCCGCGCGGCAGGCCUGGGGGCGGGAAGUUGGGGCGCCGCCGCCGGGGAAAGUUUGCGUCCUGCGAGGCCGCGGCGCCGCUCACAUGGCGGUGGGUGCGCGGGGCGGCCGCUCGCCCGGCCCGGCCUCCUCCACCUCCGCCCGCCCGCCCCCGGACUUUAUUGUGUGGCCGGGCCGGGCGGGCCGCAGGGUGCGGGCCGCGCGGGGGAGCGGGCCGCGGGGUGCGGGCCGCGGGCUCCCUCCCGGCCGGGCCGGCGCCGCGCACGCCCACACCCACCUUCCCUCCGUCCUGUCCUCGGCGCCUGUCUCCGAAUUUGCUUCAGCAUAUUCUUACAUAUCCACACAUGCACUCGAGAGCAGCACACACGUGAAGGCUACGUACGUGCGGGCACGCGGGAGCCGGCGGCCCAGCGCACAAAGCGCCCGGCGCUCGCAGCAUCGUCAGGCUCCGACCUGCGGGGCUGGGGGCGAGGCGGCCGCGUCUGCUCCGGUGGGCCGCGCGCCCGCAGGGCCGCCGGCUCCCGCAGGUCGGCAGAUCCCGCGAACGUGCGGGCGAGGUCUUUCCAGCUCGGCCGUCAGAAACAAUUGCAGGGAGGUGCUAGAUUCCUCGUUCCAGGCGCGCACAGCCAGGACUGCGAGAGGAACAGGACCACCCGUUAUCCACCUGGCUACACCCGUACAGGUGUAAGGAGAAGUAUCUGUUUCAGUUUGUAA
rnacentral:lncRNA from 1 species